GACAUCCAGAGAACUUAGCAGAGAUGCUUUGGUGCCUUCGGGAACUCUGAGACAGGUGCUGCAUGGCUGUCGUCAGCUCGUGUUGUGAAAUGUUGGGUUAAGUCCCGCAACGAGCGCAACCCUUAUCCUUGUGCCAGCGGUUCGGCCGGGAACUCAAAGGAGACUGCCGGUGAUAAACCGGAGGAAGGUGGGGAUGACGUCAAGUCAUCAUGGCCCUUACGGCCAGGGCUACACACGUGCUACAAUGGCGCAUACAAAGAGAAGCGACCUCGCGAGAGCAAGCGGACCUCAUAAAGUGCGUCGUAGUCCGGAUUGGAGUCUGCAACUCGACUCCAUGAAGUCGGAAUCGCUAGUAAUCGUAGAUCAGAAUGCUACGGUGAAUACGUUCCCGGGCCUUGUACACACCGCCCGUCACACCAUGGGAGUGGGUUGCAAAAGAAGUAGGUAGCUUAACCUUCGGGAGGGCGCUUACCACUUUGUGAUUCAUGACUGGGGUGAAGUCGUAACAAGGUAAGCGUAGCGAG
rnacentral:rRNA from 1 species